ensembl:lncRNA
GGAUUCUCCAGGGAAGAACACUGGAGUGGGCUGCCAUUUCCUCCUCCAGGGGAUCUUCCCGAGCCGGAUGGAACCUAUGUUUCUUGCCUCACCUGCGUUGGCAGGCUUGCCAUCAGAGCCAAACCACAUGUUGGAAGCUAUACCCAAGAAUGGUUGAGGCAUUUCCUUUUCUGGGAGAACAAUACUGAAUCAGGUCAGCAUCUAUUCUAAGAGAUAAAUAACUUUCUUUGGUGCUAUAAAAACACAGCACAGCCUAGUUUUCUGAAGAUUUCAUAUUCA